rnacentral:ncRNA from 1 species
AAAGGUUUGGUCCUGACUUUAUUAUCGUCUUUAGCCAAGUUUACACAUGCAAGUAUCCGCACCCCUGUGAGAAUGCCCUUCAGUUCCCUUCCUCGGGAACAAGGAGCUGGUAUCAGGCACACUUCGUACUGCCCAUAACACCUUGCUCAGCCACACCCUCAAGGGAAUUCAGCAGUGAUAAAUAUUAAGCCAUGAGUGAAAACUUGACUUAGUUACGGCUAAAAGGGCCGGUAAAACUCGUGCCAGCCACCGCGGUUAUACGAGAGGCCCAAGUUGAUAAUAUCGGCGAAAAGAGUGGUUAAGUAACUUUAAUAAACUAAAGCCGAACGUCUCAUAAACUGUUUAACGUUUUUCCGAGAUAUGAAGCUCAAUAACGAAAGUGGCUUUAAAUAAAACUGACUCCACGAAAGCUGGGAAACAAACUGGGAUUAGAUACCCCACUAUGCCCAGCCCUAAACUUUGAUAAUAUGCUACUUAUUAUCCGCCCGGGUACUACGAGCUCCAGCUUAAAACCCAAAGGACUUGGCGGUGCUUAAGAUCCAUCUAGAGGAGCCUGUUCUUUAAACCGAUACCCCCCGUUGAACCUUACCUUUUCUUGUACCCCCCGCUUAUAUACCGCCGUCGUCAGCCCACCCCACAAAGGACAAGUAGUAGGCUAAAUCGGCACAGCCCAAAACGCCAGGUCGAGGUGUAGUGUAUGAAAAGGGUAGAUAUGGGCUACAUUUCCUAAUUUAGGAAAUUACGGAUGAUAUUCUGAAACGAAUGUUUGAAGGUGGAUUUAGCAGUAAAUAAAAGCCAGAGUACUUUAUUGAAAUAUAGGCCCUAAAGCACGCACAUACCGCCCGUCACUUUCCCCGAAGAAAAUUAAUAUUAUACUUAAUUACAGAACUGUUCACAAGGGGAGACAAGUCGUAACAUGGUAAGGGUACCGGAAGGUGCCCUUGGA